rnacentral:rRNA from 1 species
UACGAAGGGGGCUAGCGUUGCUCGGAAUCACUGGGCGUAAAGCGCACGUAGGCGGAUUGUUAAGUCAGGGGUGAAAUCCUGGAGCUCAACUCCAGAACUGCCUUUGAUACUGGCGAUCUUGAGUCCGGGAGAGGUGAGUGGAACUGCGAGUGUAGAGGUGAAAUUCGUAGAUAUUCGCAAGAACACCAGUGGCGAAGGCGGCAUCCUGGACCGGCAUUGACGCUGAUGAGCGAAAGCUAGGGGAGCAAACGGG